rnacentral:lncRNA from 1 species
CGCCGCCGCCGCUACGCACCCUGCCCCCGGGGGGCGGGCUGGAGGGAGGGGGCGGGCGCCGGGAGCCGGCCGGGGGUCCGCCGCAGCCAUGGCGCUGCGCGGAGGGGGCCGGCGACCCGCUUCACCUGCCGCAGAGGGGGCGGCGGGCGCCGUUUCACCUGCGGGAGCGGGAGGCGGCCGAGGCGAGGCAGAGGCGGCGGCGCGCGCGGCGGCGCCUCCGGGUCCUAGAACCGCAUGCUCCCGCUCUUCCGAGCCGGGGAUCGGCGGGGUCUGGGUGAGGGGGGUCACGGCCUGGGAGUCGGAGGGGGCAAACCUCCGGGAGUCGGAGGGGGCAAACCUCCUUGCCGAGGAUGCCAGCAACUGCGUGCUCGGCUUGGAGACCCAUGACGGUGCGGCGUUGGGGCGCAAGGGCUGGGUCCCCCUCUCGGAUUCUGGACUGAGAAGGUGGGAACCCCCUUCCAGGCCCCCUACCCCUUGUUUCUCCCCUCAUCUGUUUGGUCCAGAGAGGAGCUGAGGAUCAGAGGGAACCAUCUGCAAACGAGAGCCCCAAAGCAUGGCGAGGAGCGCAGAUCCAGGCCAACCGAGACCCCCGGACCUGUCCCACCCUGGACCAACUCUGCGCCCAUACCGACAUCCCCAGGGUUUUAUAACGAGGGCGCCUAUGGGAAAAGGCAAGGUACGGGAAUCUGGGGACCACCAAGGCGGUCUCAAGGAGAAGCGCAGGGGUUGGGGAACAGAGGAUUAAAGCCAGUAUCCAGGCUGAGAAAGGAGCAGGCUCCGCAGAGGAGAAAAAAAAUAUCUCCUUGACGCUGUCCCCUCCAGGGACGUAGGGUGGCCUCUCACCUUGGUGAAUAACAAUCCCUGAAGUCUAGCAAUUACAGAAAUGCUUCCAGAGGUCUUCUUUCAUUCAUCCCUACAGUGACUGGGGAAGGUAGGUAUUGACAUCUUCAUUUAGAGAUGGGAAAACAGACUCAGGGUGGUUAGUUGACUUGCCCAAGGGCACACAACUAAUAAAGGUCACAAACAGCCCUACUCUCUGCCCACCUUCAAAAUCCACACUGCCUUGGAGCUGCUGCCCUAGCCCCCACUGCCCCUCUCAUCCAGGGUGGGCCAGAAAGGUGAGUGAGUAUUGGGAGGACUAUAGAACCCCAGCUCUGAGACACAAUCUCCAACCUGUAUUUGAGGCCCUUCUCCCUCAGUUGCUCUUAUUGUUCCCCAUCGAAUCUGUGGAGAUCCCGAGCUGCCCCUCCCUUCACUUCCAAAACAUUGAGGAUGGAGGGCCCACUACAUGAGGCCUGGAUUUUCUCUAGGCCAGGCCAGAGGCCAUAAGUGUCCCUUCCCCUUAUAGCUUCCUCUUCCUUCUACCUUCCCUUUCACAUGCAGAACCACUGACAAAUUUCAGCAGGAGCUGGGAAAUUUACCUAAUUUUAAGGAAGGCCCUGGGAUGAGACAGCCCCUUCCCCCAGACUGACCUGAUUUAAGUGCUUCUUCUGCCAAGGUCACCAGCACGUCUGGUGGGUGAGAGAUGUGGUUACUUAUUUCAUGUCCCAGCCAGGGACGCACAGGUAAGACAAAGCAGGAUUUUCCUGGAACCUGCUACCAAGGUGAUCCAUUCUGUGCCCGCUACCCUUAUCCUCAGCUGACCUGGGGUUCUUGCCCUUGACAUUAGCUAGGACAUCUUUUUUUAUUUCUUUUUAAAGAAUUUAGUCCCUGAUCCCCUCAAUGCUUGUCCCUUUCCUUUUAACAACAUACCUUAAAUUUACACUAGCUGUGUGCCCAGCACUGUGCUCACUCCUGUUGAUUCAGUGGCAGAUGAAAAGAGUCCCCAUUAUUAGACUGCUCACAGCCUAGCAAGGGACAGACUCCAAACACAUCUGGGAGAGUAACUACCAUCAGGCAGACUGGUAGCAGGUGUUCAUGCUUCCCCUUGCCCAGAACUACUUCUUCCGGUAGGUAAGAGAAGGAUGGGAGUUGUGCGCUGCAACUGAAAAUCCGAGCAGGGUGGGGAGCCUCUAAUGAAGUAGUUGCCAGCCUAAGCCCUCCAUUCCUGGGGAUGCUCUGGCCAUUGCCAACCACUGCCACCCAAGGCCUGGUGGAAACAAGGGUAAGCUACAUAGAACCUCUUACGUGGAAAAUUAUGAACUCAACAAGCCUACAUUCUGUCUCGCGCGCGCUGAUCAGAAAUGUGAGGCACAAAAAAAGGGAGAGCAUUGAAUCAAUGAUUACCUAAUAAAUUUGGUUGGCUUGGCAGGAAGUAUCUUUCCAAUCGUGGUCCACAGAGGAGGAAAUCCUAGAAGGGAGGCUUGGUGAAGUUUGGAACCAAUGCUUUGGUGGAUCUGUGCUUCCACCUGCUGGACGCAGGAGGUAUGACAGCCAAGACAGGGCGAGGCCUUCAGAAGUGAUGGAGAUGGAGUCACAGCGUGGGUGACAUUUCUAGACUGUUGUGGCCUUGUCACCUCCGAUGGAGAAAUUGUGCUGUCACUGGGGACACUCAGAGCUUAGAUGACUGAGCAGGUCUCCCCAGGAAUCUUCCUCCCUCUGCCUGAUGACCAUUACUCAUCGAGCGCCUCUUCAAAUUAAAAAAAAAAUUUUUUUUUAGGGAUGCCUGGGUGGCUCAAUGGGUUGAGCGACCGGCUUUGGCUCAGGUCAUGAUCUCACGGUUUGUGAGUUCGAGCCCCGCAUCGGGCUCUGUGCUGACAGCUCAGAGCCAGGAACCUGCUUCUGAUUCUGUGUCUCCCUCUCUCUCUGCUCCUCCCCCACUCAUGCUCUGUCUCUCUCUGUCUCAGAAAUAAAUAAACAUUUAAAAAAAAUUGUCUUUAAUUUUUUUUUUGUCUUUAAUUUUUUUAAGAUAAUACAUACAUGUGCUCAGUUUACAAGAAAAGCAGUUUUAAUGCAUCUUUCCAGAAAAGUUUAGGGCAUAUACAAGCCGAGUGUGUGUGUGUGUGUGUGUGUGUGUGUGUGUGUGUGUGUGUGUUUGGUACACAGUCUACAAUUUGGCACCUUGAUAUUUUCACUUAAUCGACACAGUCGAUUUUCACAAAAUCGACACAGUCCUCCAUCAUAUGGGUGUGUCACAAUCUAUUUCACUAGUCCCCUCCUAGUGGGUAUUUUGGUUAUGUCAGUCUUUUGUUGCUACAAACAAUGGUGCUUGCAGGAAAUAUCUCAGUACAUAUAUUUGUCUGCACUUGUGUGUGUAGCCGUAAGACAAGUUUAUCAAUAUGACAAUGCUGAGUCAAAGGUUCUGCACUUUUUAAAAGUUUAUCUAUUUAUUUUGAAAGAGAAAGAGAGAGAAUGUGUGCCCGGAUGCGGGGCUCGAUCCCACAAACCAUGAGAUCGUGACCUGAGCUGAAAUCAAGAGUCAGAUGCUCAACUGACUGAGCCACCCAGGCACCCCAAAGGUUAUGCACUUUUAAAUUUGGGGUUGAUUUUUGGGAAUUUGGAUAGAUUUGGAAUUGCCUUCCAAAAAGUUUGCACCAAUUUGCAACCCCCAACAAUGGAGGACAGUGCCCGUUUUCCCACAUCCUCACUCUAUUAUAUUAUAGGUAUUAUAAGGCCUUUUGAUGUUUGGUGAGGCCUAUUUGAAAGUCUUUGUCAUAGGCCGGUAAUGAUCUGUCUUUUUCUCCAAGGCAGAGACUGUAUCUUUUCUGUCCCUAUACUUCCAGUGUAGGAUCUAAAUAUGAAUGAAGGUAAACAGGAUUGCAUUUUGGUGGGGAUGAAGGGAAGGGGUAGAAGGUUAGAACUAAGCAGGAAGUCUGGUUUUUUUUAAUGUUUAUUUAUUAAUUUUGAGAGGGGAGGGAGGGGCAGAGAGAGAGAGAGAGAAUCCCAAGCAGACUCCACGCUGUCUGUGCAGAUGUGGGACUGGAUCCCACGAACCAUGAGAUCAUGACCUGAGCUGAAAUCAAGAGUUGGACACUCAAAUGACUGAGCCACCCAGGCAGCCCUAGGAAGCCUGUCCUUAAGGGUCACUCUCAUUUCCAGGCCUCAGUCAAGCCUCUGCCCCAAACCCAACAGCCCUCCUCUGGCAGGAGCCUCCCAGAUUUUGAGAUCUGAGAUGGAAGGCCCAAAUUCCUGACACAGCUCUCACUUAGCUCUCCUGCAUCCCAGGGAUGGGCAUCAUCAUCUCUGAGACCCCUAAAGACUAGAAAUAAGGGGUGCCUAGAUGGCUCAGUUGAUUAAGCAUCUGAUUCUUGAUUUCGACUCAGGUCAUGAACUCACAAUUUGUGAGUUCAAGCCCCACAUAGGGCUCUGUGCUGACAGCACGGAGCCUGCUUGGGAUUCUGUCUUUCCUCUCUCUCUCUGCCCUUUGCCCCACUCUCAAAAAUAAAUAAAUAAACUUAAAAAAAAGCUGGAAAUAAGUCAGGUGUUCAGCUAUAGGGGUCAGUGAAACCAGCAAUCCAAUAGACCUUUCUGCAAUGAUGAAAAUGUUUCCUUCUAUCGGUGCUGUCCAGUAUGACAGCCACUGGCCAUAUGUAGCUAUACUGAGCUCUUGAAAUGUGGCUAGUGCAACUGAGGGAAUGAAUUUCAAAUUUGACUUAAUUGUAAUUAAGUUCAGUGUAAAUAGCCACAUGUAGCUACUAUAGUGGACAGUGAAGGGUUAAAUAAACAUAAUAUAUCUCCACAAUGGGAAAAUAUGCAGCUGUAGAAGAAGGAAAGGGAGAAGGAGAAGGAGAAGGAGAAGGAGGAGGAGGAGGAGAAGGAGGAGAAGGAGGCGGCUGUCAGAUAUUGAUAUGGAAAGAUCUCCAGGAUAUUUUGAAGCAAAAAGACAGUGCAAAACAGCAUAUAUGCCGUGCUGUCUUUUGUGUAAGAAAGGGAGGUGGAGAUAAGAAUAAAUGUUUGUAUUUGCUUGAAUUUACAUGAGCAGGUAACAAAAGUAGUAACCUAUAAAGUGCUGGGAAACAGGGUAGACCAGGCAGAGGUGGGAGCAAGACUUCCCAAUACAUUUUUCUAAACUGUUUUGGUUUUUGAACCAUAUGCAUUUAUUCUCUAUUCAAAAGUUUAAGUAGGGGCACCUGGGUGGCUUAGUCACUUAAGCGUCUGACUCUUGGUUUUGGCUCGGGUCAUGAUCUCACGGUUUAGGAGUUCGAGCCCCACAACCGGGCUCUGUGCUGAUGGUACAGAGCCUGGCUGGGAUUCUCUCUCUCUCUCCUUUCUCUGCCUAAUCCCUCCCUUGCUUGUGUGCUCGCUCUCUCUCUCUCUCUCUCUCUCAAAACAAAUAAAUAAACUUUAAAAAUUUCCCUAAAAAAGUUAAGGUAAAAUAAAAUCAAGUUGCUUAUUGGCAACUUGUGUUAGAUGAGGGAAAUAAUCCCACUGUCCUGUCUAUGUGACCUCCCAGAGGACAGCCCAGGGGAAAGGGAUGGGCAACACUUCAUGAGCCAUGCCCUAGGUGACACAAGUGCCCAAACCUGGUAAAGCAUCAGAAUCGGAAUCUCAGCAGGUAUGCCUUUUAUGGUCCACGCAGACACUGAACUAUCCUUGUCAACACCUCCCAGUGAAGAGAGGAUAAGUCCUUAGUACCAGGCGCAUGUCCCUUCCCUGGAGAGAGCAAUGCCUAAAGACUGGAAAUAAGCCAGGUAGGGGCUGUCCACAUGUCAUUCAAAGCUGAACAGCAGCCCUGCAAGGCAGGCCUACUGCUCUGCUCUCUGAGCUCAGUGUCCUCUUAAAGGACUGAUUUAUCCAAGGUCACACAGCUGGUAAAUCUGAACCACAGGACCAGGAUCUGAACCCAGUCAUACAACCCCUGAGCCUCAGCUUUCUUAUUAUGAAAAAAUGACAAUAGGACCUCAUAGAAUUGUUUUGAAUAUUAAGUAAAAUUUCAACUUAAGAGCCAACAGAGACUUUUAUUUCCAACAAUAUGGUGGACUAUAUGUCCAGAGAAACCCUUCUAGUACAAAGCAACUAGAAAUGCUAGAUAAAAGAUUAAAAGCUGUGUGUGUGAGUGUGUGCAUGUAUGAUAUUUUCAAUGCAAGGCCAAGCUUGCAAGAAAAGAAAAUCCUCAAAGGCACAAAUCCAAAAUGGAAGACAAAACCUGGGGCCUCAUAAGGUAGGAGGUUGGAGCAGACAUAAUCCACUCCUCUCAAAAGUCAAGGGUGCCCAGAAGGUAAAAUCUUUGGGUAAAUGUGAGAAGCAAAAAAACAAAAACAAAAACAAAAACAAAAAAAACAAAAAAACCUACCCUGCUGAGAGAGAUAGUAGGAUUCUUGCCUGCUUUAAUUUAUCAAGAAUAUAUAACCGGGGUGCCUGGGUGGCGCAGUCGGUUAAGCGUCUGACUUCAGCCAGGUCACGAUCUCACGGUCCGUGAGUUCAAGCCCCACGUCAGGCUCUGGGCUGAUGGCUCAGAGCCUGGAGCCUGUUUCCGAUUCUGUGUCUCCCUCUCUCUCUGCCCCUCCCCCGUUCAUGCUCUGUCUCUCUCUGUCCCAAAAAUAAAUAAACAUUGAAAAAAAAAUUAAAAAAAAAAAAGAAUAUAUAACCAUUCUACAGUUAUAUGCACCUAAUAACAUAUCUUCAAAAUCAUAAAGCAGAAAUAGUGGGAAAAAUAGACAAGUCCACCAAUAUAAAGGAAGAUUUAAAUGACCUCCCUCUGGAAUUAGUAGUUUAAGCAGACAAAAAAGAUCAGUAAGUACAUAGCAGAUUUGAACUGACAGGCUUACUUUAAGUGAAUACUUUGAAUUCUCCAGUCAACAAUUAUUGGCAAACACACUUUUGCUUUCAGCCACACAUUUACAAAAGUGACCACAUAGUAGAUCACGAGGCAAGUUCUGACCAAUUCCAAACAAUCAUACAGACCUCACUAUCUGACAGCAAUUAAAUUAGAAAUCAAUAAUCAAAAGACAGCAUAAAAGACAAACCCAUGUAUUUGCAAAUGUCAAAAUGCACUUCUAAAUAAUUCAUGGAUUGAAGAACUCCUAUCAGAAAUUGGAAAAUAUUUGGAAUAGAGGAUCAGAAAUAUUACGUAUAAAGCCCUUAACACAUAGGGCCCUAAAAAUGGCAGUGAGGAUGAUGAUGUUAAAGAUGCAACAACAGUUUGCAGAGUGAGAGGUGUCUGUAAGACAAACUUGGCUUUGUCUGUAAGACAAACUUGGCAGUGGUUAAUUCUGAGUUCAAAGGAGGUGUAAAGACUGAAGAUCUGCGUUUGGAGGUAACCACUGAGUCUGAGAAGAGGGGUCCCAGAGGAUGAGUUACAAACAACCUGUGAGUGGGAUUAUUCUGGUCCCAUUUUCCUAAUGAGGCCACCGAGGAUGCCAGCGGUGAGGCAACUCAAGUCAUCCGGUUAGAAAGUGGCACAGCCAGGAUUCAAAUCCAAGUUGGCUGCCUUACUUUCAUGCUGCCCCUGAGGGAGGGAGGUGGGGACAAGCUUUUUGGUUAACACCAGUCUGCCAAGAAGGUAUCUGGUCCCGUCUCGAGCUUUGGGGUGUCUGGUGGAGUGAGCUGAGAGGCCACAAACCACAACUGUCGCCUUUGUUGGUUGGUUGGUCGAUCUGUCUCUUUGUCUCAGCCAGCUCUGCUUGCUCACCCAAAAGUGAAAAUGUGUGCUUUCAUGUUUGAAGCCCACACAAACUGGCGCAGAUGAGGCCCCAUCCAACCAGCGGCCAAAGGGAAUGGGGCGCACAGGUGCCCAGAGACGCUGAGCUGGGAGAGAGGGUGGGCUGAGGGAGCCACUUGCAGCACCCAGGCCCACCAGGGCUAGGGGGCAUCUACAAUGGGGAACAGAGCCUGUACCUGGCACACAGUAAGUGUUGAAUGAAUGCUGACUAAAGGAGCACUUAUGGAAGACCUGCUGAAUACCAAUCAUCGUACCUGGUAUCCUUUACUUUGAUCCCCAUGGUAUCACACUGCGGUCGGUGUUACUAGCCCCAUUUAAAAUAUAUAUUUAUUUAUUUAUUUAUUUAUUCAUUUUUGAGAGUGAGAGCAUGAGCCAGAGAGGAGCAGCGGUGGGGGUGGGGGGGGUGGGGACAGAGGAUCUGAAGCGGGCUCUGUGCUGACAGCAGCGAGCCCAGUGCGGGGCUCAAACAGACAAACCACGAGAUCAUGACCUGAGCCCAAGUCAGAUGCUUAGCCAACUGAGUCUCCCAGGUGCCCCACCCCAUUUUUUACAGAUAGGGAGACUGGGACUCAGAGGGUGACUUGUCCAAGGUCCAGGAAAUAGCUGAGCAGAGACAAGAACCCUGGUCUGGGGGCCUAGCUCCCCUGCUGUUUUCCCUAUAGCAAGGACAGCCAGUUUUUGAAGAUCCCUCUCUCAGCCAGCCAGCUGACCCAGGGGCCACUGUGAUAAAAGCCAAGGCAUUGGGCAAGCAGCUGAACCUCUUCACUCGUUACUCAGUGACGAUUUAGGAUGGGCCAACAGUGUCCCAGGCACCAGAACUAGUAGAAUAGAAUCCUCUAAUUCUAUGAGAUUGGAAUUAGACCCAGGCCUGCCUGGGAAGAGCUGACAGCCUACAAUGGGCAACAUGAGGGGAGAUUCUGUGUGUCAGAGGCUUAGUUAGUGAAGAAACUAAUCUUAAACCCACUCGUGACAUUUGUGGGUCAAGGGCCAGAAGUCAACUGGACCCCACUUUUAAUUCAUACGUGUGUGUGUGUGUGUGUGUGUGUAUAUAUAUAUAUAUAUAUGCAUACAUAUAUGUGUGUGUGUGUAUUUAAUUCAUAUAUAUAUAUAUAUAUUAUAUAACUUUUUGUUUAAUUUUUUAGAGAGAGAGAUCACGAAGGGCAGAGAGAGAGGGGGACAGAGGAUCCGAAGCGGGCUCUAUGCUGACAGAAGAAAGCCCAAUGUGAGACUCAAACUCACAAACCUCCCGGUUUGUGAUCAUGACCUGAGCUGAAUUUGGUGGAUGUUUAACUGACUGAGCCACCCAUGUGCCCCUACAUAUCUAUCUAUCUAUCUAGCUAUAGCUAUAGCUAUCUAUAGAUAUAGAUAUAGAUAUAGAUAUAGAUAUACAUGUAUAGAUAGAUAGAUAGAUAGAUAGAUAGAAAUGAAUUAAAUUUUUAUGGUUUUUUUAUGUUUAUUUUUAGAUGUUUUUUUUUUUCAACGUUUAUUUAUUUUUGGGACAGAGAGAGACAGAGCAUGAACGGGCGAGGGGCAGAGAGAGAGGGAGAUACAGAAUCGGAAACAGGCUCCAGGCUCUGAGCCAUCAGCCCAGAGCCCGACGCAGGGCUCGAACUCACGGACCGCGAGAUCGUGACCUGGCUGAAGUCGGACGCUUAACCGACUGCGCCACCCAGGCGCCCCUAGAUGUUUAUUUUUGAGAGAGAGUGUGUGUGCCAAGGAGCAAGGGAAGGGCAGAGAGAGAGGGAGAGAGAGAGAAUCCAAAGCAGGCUCUGAGCUGUCAGCACAAAGCCUGACAUGGGGCUCGAACCCACUGUGAGAUUAUGACCUGAGCCAAAGUCGGAUGCUCAACUGACCGAGCCACCCAGGUGCCCCAAUUCAUCUAUAUAUUUAAAAGUUAUAGGGGCGCCUGGGUGGCUCAGUAGGUUGAGCGUCUGACUUCGGCUCAGGUCACGAUCUCCCAGUUUGUGAGUUCGAGCCCUGCGUCGGGCUCUGUGCUGACAGCUCAGAGCCUGUAGCCUGCUUCUGAUUCUUUCUCCCUAUCUCUCUGCUCCUCCCCUGUUCAUGCUCGCUCUCUCUCUCUCUCUCUCUCUCAAAGAUAAACAUUAAAAAAAUUUUUUUUUGGGUUAUAAAUCAAGACAACACAGAUAAAUUUUAUCUUCUUACCCCAGUGAGAAAAAUAUACCUUCAAGAGGACCCAGAAAGCCAGAUUCAACUUAACAAUUCCAGGACUGGGGUGCCUAGCUGGCUCAGUCAGUAGAGCAUGCAACCCUUGAUCUGGGGGUCGUAAGUUCAAGUCCCACAUUAGACAUGGGACUACUUUUAAAAAAAUUCUAGGACUGGGGUGCCUGGGUGGCGCAGUCGGUUAAGCGUCCGACUUCAGCCAGGUCACGAUCUCGCGGUCCGUGGGUUCGAGCCCUGCGUCAGGCUCUGGGCUGAUGGCUCAGAGCCUAGAGCCUGUUUCGGAUUCUGUGUCUCCCUCUCUCUCUGCCCCUCCCCCAUUCAUGCUCUGUCUCUCUCUGUCCCAAAAAUAAAUAAAAAACGUUGGAAAAAAAAUUAAAAAAUAAAAAUAAAAAAAAAAUUCUAGGACUAUGCACUGGAACAUGACAGUUCAGGGUGAGUGCCGCCUUCCCUUCCCACUUCAGACUCUGUCCUGCAUAAAGAGGAGCCACAAUCACACACACACACACACACACACACACACACAUACACACACACCAGGCUACAUAUCCAACCCCCAUCCAUACGCUCAUAAACAGAACCCUUAUGCACCUGUGCACACCAACUGUACAGUCUGGCCUUAGGAGAAUAAACCUGGGACAUAGCCUGUGCAAGCCCUAGAAACAGGGCUUGGGGCCCUCUGGGAAGGGAACCCCAAGACUGCAGGUACCUAAGGCAUGGGCAAGUUCUGUACUAUCCAAUAUGGUAGCCUCUAGUCACAUAUGGCUAUUUAAAUUUUGAUUUAAAUAAUUUAAAAAUAAAUAAAAUUUAAAAGCAAGUCCCUAAGUUGCAGUGAGCCACAUUCCAAGUGCUCAAUAGCCACAUGUGGCUAGUGGUCACCAUAUUGGACGGUGCAGACAGAGAACAUUUCCAUUAUUGCUGAAAAUGCUACCAGACAGCACUGGUCUAGAAAGUGAGGCAAUGCUCCUACUGGGCUCAUUGCCUUCUGGGGAGGGAUACAGCUGGAGGAGGCCCAAGCUAGACCCUUUUGCCCAGAUGUAAAGGUAGAACUGCCAGAGGAUGUCAGGAAGUCUUCACAGAGAGGAUGACAUUUGAGCAUUUGGCCAAAUAUGUGGGAAGUGGUGGAAAGGGGGUGGUGAAAGGCCACUGAAAUAGAGAAAGCAUAUGCAAAGGCCCAGUGGCAACAAUGAUCUGUUGGGAGAAACACAACAGAUUUGAUAUGACUGAAAUGCAGAGUGUGGACCUAGAAGGGAGGAGGAUGGUAAUCUGGAAGGAUCCACUGCCAAUCCUCAAGGUUCUGGGGCCAUGCUAAAGUUAUGAGACUCAAGCCUGGUAGCUGAUGAGAUCAGGUGGAGCAGGAAGGACCAGACCAGCUGGACACAUCAGAAAAGAAAAGGCAAAAUUGAAGACCAGUUAGAGAUUUAAAAACAAAACAACAGACCAUGAGAGAGAAGCAGAGGGGAGGGAAGGGAGAGAUAUCUUCUAGAGGAAAGACAUGGCUUUGAUGUAAAGGUGAAAAAUGGCUGACGCUUGGAGUGCAGGUGUCAGAGAAAGGGUGAGUCACAAUAAACACAAGGGCGAAGUUACAGAUUGGGAGAGAAGUCAAUAGUUCCACAUGAGAUUCCUAGAAUCUGAAAGGCAUCCACAGGGCCAGUCCAGACAGGAGAGUGGAGAUUCAGGGCUGCACCAAGUUGGUAAAGAAAAAAGGGAUGUGGAAGCUACUAGAAGGCUGAGCUCUCCUACGGAGGUGAACAAGUCCGGAGACCUAUCUACGGACCAAAAUUGGGAGGAUGUCUCCACUGGGGUUUCAGGAAGCCACAGGAAAAACCAGGACCUGCAGAUUUUCCCCAGAUAAACCACUUGCAGCAGGGCCGGCUCCUAGAUCAGCCAGCAGGCACCAGCUAGCAUUCAGUCAUUUGUUGGUGAGGGAGGAUGGGUGGAGCCUGGGGAAGCUGACUCUGGGAGUUUUCAGGGAGGAGGGUGAGUCUCAGGCCCUGGGAGGAGGUCAACAGGGUAAGGACUAUGAAGGCGUUGAGUUGGGCAAUUGGGGUGUCCCUAGUGGCCUUCAGAAAAGAAUAAUGCUUUCAUUAGGAACUGCUGAGUUUCAAGGGCAAGUGUGGAGUUAAGAGGGAGAGAAGGGGAGAAACAGGGAGGGGCAGAGCCUAAGCCUACCAUCCACAGAAAGAAAACACACAUGUAAUUAAUGGUGUCAUUCUUAACCUGUGUUGAAACUCUGAUUGGAGUUUUUUACCGAUAACCCUGGGUCAGUCCUUAGAGAUUCAGGAGUUUCUUAAACCCCUUAAAUGGAGACCCCCAUUCCUAAGAAAAUAAUAUUGCUUAUGUAGUAUUUCUACCAGGGAUGGGUAGCCUGAAUCUGCCCAGAAGGAAACACCAGACACACCCAAAGUGAGGAUCACUCAAUUAAAAGAAAGGGGGGGGGGGUGCUCUACUCUGAAAAAAUGUCACGAAAGAUGGAAAAAGCCAAGGAAUUGCUCAGAUUAGAGAAGCUUAAAGAAACACGACAAUUAAAUGUAAUGUGUGAUCCUGGUCUGGAUCCUACACUGAAGGGGGAAAAUGCUCCCAGGGACCCUGACUGAAUCCCUUGAUAAAACUGUAAUAUGGACAGGAGAUUAGUGACAAGUAUUGUAUCAAUGUUAAAUUUCCCAAAGUUGAAAAGUCUACUGUGGUUAUAGAGAGAAUGCCCUUGUUCUUAGGAAAUACCCACUGAAGCAUUUAUGAGCAAACGAACAUAAUGGUUUCCACUCUCAGUUCUGGAGGGAAAAAAUACACACACACAGUGAGAAAGGAAGCAAAUGGGACAAAAUUUUAACAACUGGUGAUGCUGUACGGAUAUUUUGGUAUACAGUAUAUUUUAACAACUGGGUAAGUGGUAUGUGCAGGAUCUUUGUAUAGUUCUUGCAACUCUUCUCUAAGCUUGAAAUUUUUCCAAAUAAAAAGGUAAAACAAACAAACAAAAAAUCUCUACCCAAACCACAAGCGUCCUGAAGUUAGGGACAUAGAUCCUGCUCUUGCCCAGCGCUGGUCCUGGAUUGGCCUCGGCCUAGGUCAUGGGUCUACAGGGCAGAAUGAGGAACACAGGUGGUGACCGGAAGAGCCGAGGCCGCCGCUUGGGGACAUUCCUCGCCCCCGACGUUUUCGGACCGGACAGCUGAGGCAGCCGCGGACCCAAGCCCGGGUGACUGACUCACCCACUGGCGCUCCCUGGGCGGAGGGGGAGCCCCGCCCCGCAGGGAGGGCCCCGGCCAGCAGGUGCCGCUGUUGAGCCGGCCCUGGCAGACCCUGGCAGAAGCUCAGCGGGGACCUGGAGAUGGUGAGCCCAAGGGGUGUCUUCCAGAACUCGGCCCACCGGGGUCUUUAUAGACUCGCUCAUCCUUGCCCGGGUCUAACUUCCCACUCCCAGGCCCUCAGCUUCCCCGCACCCCCUCCCCCACCUUGGAUGCCCCAAGGCAACUCCCUUGGAUGACGCCUGGUGGAGGAGGGGAGGGGAUAAGUAGGAAGAGGCUUCAGUCCUUGGCCCUAGAGUCUGAGUAGCAAACGAACCCUCCCUUUUUUCUGCCCCAUCUCCCUCUUCUUCUCCCCCUCCCCCAUUCACUCCCUCCUCCUCCUCCUCCUCCCCCUCACCCCUCCUCCUCCUCCCCCAUCCCUCCUCAUACUCCUCCCCCUCUCCUCCUCCUCCCCCUCCUCCUCCUCUUCUUCCUCCUUCUCCUGCUCUAGAGCAGCCCCAGGCUUUCAAAACAAACACACCCCUCCCCAGCCCAUCCCCAGCCUGCCUGGGCCUUUCUCCAGUUGUUGCUCCUAGACUCCAGUUCCUUCUGCUGGGUCCAGGGAUCUGGAUGGAGAUGGCCAGGGGGUAACAGGGUGCUGAGGAGGGUAGGAGAGGCCCCGUGGUGUUAUUUCUUCCUGUGUAGAAAGGAGUUGCUCUUGGGGUGCCUGGCUGACUCAGUGGGAGGAGAGUGAGGCUCUUGAUCUGGGGGUGGUGAGUUCGAGCCCCACGUGGGGUGUAGAGAUUACUAAAAUGAAUUUUAAAAACUUAAAAAAGAAAAAAACAGUUGCUUGCACAGCUCCCCUACAGUUGAGUGGACAGCGGUGGGGCGGCAAGGGGAGUCUUCCUUGCCUGGGAUGGUGGAACUGGCCCUUUACUCCAGCUCUCUCCCGGCCUUCCCAGACUCAGGAUGAAAGGGGCCUAGAGAGGUCAUUUUGCCCGUCCCCCUGGGCCCAAGAAGGACUAUAACUGUGUGAAGGUCUCUCAAUCCUACAUGUUGACUAAUUUCUUCAACAACCUUCCACUGAGAGCCAGCUUUGUGCAAGGUACCAGGAAACUUCCCUGAUGCGAGCACUUUAAAUCCUCACCAAGACCGCUGAGAUGGGUGCUGUUAUUCUAAGCUGACUUGUCCAAAGGUCCAGUUCAAUCCAGUGCUCUGCUGUGGCUCCUUCUGACUCACCCAGUAGGACUGACCUACUUUAGCUUUGAGGCCACCACUGUACCUUGCACAAUGUCUCAGGUACAGUAUUUGUCUUACCAGCUUCCACUGCUUUGCUCUCAUGGGUCCCCCACCCUGACCAGACUGGGCUCCAGACCACAGCAACUGGAGACAGGGAAGCCUGGGGGCCUUGCUCUAGCCCUCACUAUGCAGCCUUGAGGAAGUUUCUUAACUUCUUCAAGAUCAGUUUUCUAAUCUGUAAAACAGAGUUAACGGCAAUACCCUCCUCAUGGGUUUGACAUGAUGGUACAAUAAGAAGAUGCAUAUAAAGUGCUUAGUACAGUUUAACUUUAUUUUUUUAAUUUUUUUAAUGUUUAGUUUUGAGAGAGAGGGAGAGGGAGAGAGAGAGAGAGAGAGAGAGAGAGAGAGAGAGAGAGAGAGAGCUGGCGCACAAGUGAGGGAGGGGCAGAGAGAGAGGGAGACACAGAAUCAGAAGCAGGCUCCAGGCUCUGAGCUGCCCGCAGACAGCCCAACUCGGGGCUUGACCUCACAAACCACGAGAUCAUGACCUGAGCUGAAGUUGGAGGCUCAACCGACUGAGCCACCCAGGCAUCCCUACAGUUUAACUUUAAAAAGGGAAGCCCUGGGGCGCCUGGGUGGCGCAGUCGGUUAAGCAUCUGACUUUGGCUCAGGUCAGGAUCUCACGGUCGGUCGGUGAGUUCAAGCCCCGCGUCAGGCUCUGUGCUGACAGCUCAGAGCCUGGAGCCUGUUUCAGAUUCUGUGUCUCCCUCUCUCUCUGACCCUCCCCCACUCAUGCUGUCUCUCCCUGUCUCAAAAAUAAAUAAACAUUAAAAAAAAUUUUUUUUUUUAAAAAGGGAAGCCCAUCCCCACCGGAAUGGAUAUGGAACAAAGGAACUCUCAUAUUCAGGUGGUAGAGGUAGAAAACCAUUUAUCAUUUCCCGUUACCACUGAAAAUAUACGCAUUCAGUGUGACCUGGCAGUUUCACUCCUAGAUAUGUAACCAAGAGGAACAUGUGCACACGAGCACCAAAAGGCAUGUGAGAUAGCAGCAAUAAUCAUAAUAACCCCAAACUGGAAACAGCUCAAUGUUCAGCAGCAGCAGCAGAAUUAGCUAAUGCAUUUUAGUAUAUUCGUGCCAUGGAAUACUCUAGAGCAAUGAAAAAUAACGAGCUACUGCUACUCAUAACAACAUAGAUAAAUCUCACAGACGUAAUGUGAGGGAAAGAAACCAAGCAAAAGAGAGGUACAGAUAGCCUGUUUAUUUCCUCACAAAGUGCCAACCAACCAACUAAUCUAUGGUAAGAGUCAGAGCAGAGGGUACUCUUGGUGAUUAAAAGUGAGGCUCAGGGAGUUCUGGGAUGCUGAUAGCGUUCUGUGUCUUUAGCGGGUGUGGUUACACAAAUGUAUUGACUUGGUAAAAAUUCAUUAAGCUGUAUGCAUGAUGUAUGCACUUGUUUGUAUACAUGUUAUACUUUAAUUUUUUUUUUGCUUCUUUUUUUUUUUUUUUUUUCAACGUUUAUUUAUUUUUGGGACAGAGAGAGACAGAGCAUGAACAGGGGAGGGGCAGAGAGAGAGGGAGACACAGAAUCGGAAACAGGCUCCAGGCUCUGAGCCAUCAGCCCAGAGCCCGACGCGGGGCUCGAACUCACGGACCGCGAGAUCGUGACCUGGCUGAAGUCGGACGCUUAGCCGACUGCGCCACCCAGGCGCCCCUAUACUUUAAUUUUUAAAAAGUUUACACUAAUAUAAAAAAAGACUAACGAAUUGAGCUAUGUGUAUCACACAAAUAAAUCUUAAAAUGUUUCUGAGUAAAAAUCAAGUUAUUAAAAGAUUUGGGUCGGGGGCGGGAGGGCGCCUGGGUGGCUCAGUCACUUGAGCAUCCAACGCUUGAUGCAUUGGGGGCUCUGUGCUGACAGCACGGAGCCUGCUUGGGAUUCUCUGUCUCCCUGUCUCUCUGUCCCUCCUCCACCAGCGCUGUCUCUGUCUCUCUCAAGAUAAAUAAACAACAACAACAACAAAAAAGAACACAUACCUAGGUGGUACAAAAGACAGACAUUCAAGGGGAUGCUACGUGCCAAAUGCAGAACAGCGGUGCCAUUUUUGUGGGAGAGAGGGGCCUGCGGUACGUACGAGGGACUUAAAAUGUUUUUCUAAUUUUCUUAAGCUUGGUGGUUCCUGUCAUGGGUAUUCAUUUGAUUAUUCUUAUUGCUUUAUACUUUUCUGAUUGCCUGACAUAUUUCAUAGUUAAAAAUCCUCCUCGGUGUUAAAAAAAAACAAAAACAAAAAAACAAAAAACCAAAGCAGGAAAGGGAAGACACUGUGCCUGAUUUAUCUUUGUGUUACCACCACGAACCUAGUGCCUGAUACUCAAUAAAUGUUUGGCGAAUGAAGAUCACUGGACCAGGAAAAGCCUCUGAGCCAGGGUUCAAUGUCAGGUCUUCCUACACCAGAUCCCAAGUCCAGGGCACACCCUACCACGCCUCUCCCCACCCUGCCACAAGUUGGGGGGCGGCAGUAACGGAGGCCCCCGCCUCACUCAGCACUCUGUGUAUCUGAACUGAAUUACAGAGAACAGAGACGGAAGAAACAAGACAACUUCGUGAAUGGGCAGUCAGCGAAUUCCGAGUCUGGUAGCCUAAAUUUCUAUGAAUCACACUGCCAAAAUCUUUUAGUAAUUUGCUCUUUAUCCAGCGAAACCUUUUAAGACCUACCUGUGCGGUAAACUCGAUGCUUUUGUCUUUUUUAUGUGAGUGCAUUUGUCCUCUCCAUGGGACAGAAAAGGGGGCUCUCUAAGCCAAGGUUUGGUUCAAACAGGAUCAUGGUGCACAUUCGGCUGGUGCGAGAGAAUAAACAAACAGCCUUCGGCACAUUAAUUCUUGGCGUGCAAAGAGACGCCGCUAAUUGCGGGCGCGUACUGUCUGUCUGUUAGGCCCCGUGUGGAAUGCAGCCUCUGAGGAAAGCUCUUCUCACCACUCAAAACCCACCCAAGCAUGCCCAGCCCUGAGAGGGGCUUCUAGGAAUGCAAACGACAGGCUGCCUGUGCAGCAAUAAACAGAGUUAACAGCACAGUGAACACACGGGAGGGGACUCACAGGCUUUGAGGAUUGUUUUUAAGGAACAGAAACAGGUCCGAUUCUGGGGGAGGCAGAUUAUUCGCUUACCUCGAACCA